GACGAACGCUGGCGGCGUGCUUAACACAUGCAAGUCGAGCGGUAAGGCCCUUUCGGGGGUACACGAGCGGCGAACGGGUGAGUAACACGUGGGUGACCUGCCCUCAGCUCUGGGAUAAGCCUGGGAAACUGGGUCUAAUACCGGAUAUGACUUCGCAUCGCAUGGUGUGGGGUGGAAAGUUUUUCGGCGUGGGGAGUGGCCCGCGGCCUAUCAGCUUGUUGGUGGGGUGAUGGCCUACCAGGCGACGACGGUAGCCGGCCUGAGAGGGCGGACCGGCCACACUGGGACUGAGACACGGCCCA
rnacentral:rRNA from 1 species